rnacentral:lncRNA from 1 species
CUUCAUUCCGAUGACAGCCUUCAUGCUGCAACCUGCAGCAGGAAAAUGGGCUUCAGUUUUCAAGUCUGCAGCUGAGUUGGGAAGUUGCGGACAGUAACCAGUAAUACACAAUAUUGGCAACAAUGCAACAAAACGGACACACUCUACUCUCCAGCGGGAGUGUUAAAAAAAGGAAAAGAAGAGAAAGAAAAAAGGAAAGAAGCAGAAGGAAGAACUCUGCUGCAGUACUGGAAGCAGGCAGAUUAUUUAAAUUACAGUGGUGCCAUGGAACAAGAGAAGGCAGAUGAAGAGUGACACCCUUCAAGUUAACACAGGAACAAUUAACAAUAGAAUCCUUAAGAUGCAAAACUCCUUGCUGUUUACCAGCAACAGAAGAGAGGAAGAAGUGGCUCUGGGGGAAUUGCGUGCCAGUCUGCGGCAGGUUGGCUGGAGAAGCAGCCCUGGUUGGAGCUUUGGAGAGACACAUGUGCAUUUACUUGUUACCUGGAAGACCUAUUAAAAAAAAUUCUCGUAAAUCUGUCAUUUGUGUAUCCUCAAGGUUUGUGGCAGAAAGCAGAUAUAUUUGCACCUGUGUGUAAUUGUUGUUAAAAAACACAAAAAGGAAAUAAAAGUGCACAACAUACCUA